GGGUCCAAUUAUAGUUCUAUUUUUAGUUCUUUGAGAAAUCCAGGAGAAAUGUUUAAUAGGCAGCUGUAGACAUAGUUCUGGAGUUCAGCAGAGAAAUCUAGGUUGGAAUAGAGCCCCAAGAGUGAGUGGCACAUUCUAGCCGAUGACGUCAUAAAGAGGUGCGGUGGAGGGGGGAGACAAGAUGGCUUAAGACCAAGCUCUGAGGAACUCUGACAUUUAGAGGUUAGGUGGAGAACAAGUUGCCAAAGAAGCCAGCGAACUAAGAAGAAAAUCAGGAGGAUGCGGAUUUCUGGAACCCAAAAGAAAAGAGUGUUCCAAAAAAGGAAUGGGAAACUGUGCUGAACGCUGCAGAGAAAUGAAGCAAGACUGCGGAGGACUGGGAAGAAGCCACUGCUGGCUUUGCCUCGGGCGUUUGCAAUGGUGAUUCCAUUUAGGCCCGGGAUUGGCAAAACCGGGCUCACAGCAGCCUGAAGAUAGAUGACCCUUCUGGGUACUGGAGUUCUCUCCGCAACCCUGCUUUAAAAGCCAGGUGUGCUGGCACCUGCCUGUAAUCCCAGCUACUUGGGAGGCUGAAGAAGAUCGUUUGAGCUCAGGAGUACGAGACCAGCCUGGGCGAAAUAACAAGACCCCAUCUCUACCAAAAGAAUUAAAAUAAUAAAACUAAAAAGCAAGGGGGU